UUUUCCACCGGAGCUUGCUCCACCGGAAAAAGAAGAGUGGCGAACGGGUAAGUAACACGUGGGUAACCUGCCCAUCAGAAGGGGAUAACACUUGGAAACAGGUGCUAAUACCGUAUAACAAUCGAAACCGCACGGUUUUGAUUUGAAAGGCGCUUUCGGGUGUCGCUGAUGGAUGGACCCGCGGUGCAUUAGCUAGUUGGUGAGGUAACGGCUCACCAAGGCCACGAUGCAUAGCCGACCUGAGAGGGUGAUCGGCCACAUUGGGACUGAGACACGGCCCAAACUCCUACGGGAGGCAGCAGUAGGGAAUCUUCGGCAAUGGACGAAAGUCUGACCGAGCAACGCCGCGUGAGUGAAGAAGGUUUUCGGAUCGUAAAACUCUGUUGUUAGAGAAGAACAAGGAUGAGAGUAACUGUUCAUCCCUUGACGGUAUCUAACCAGAAAGCCACGGCUAACUACGUACCAGCAGCCGCGGUAAUACGUAGGUGGCAAGCGUUGUCCGGACUUAUUGGGCGUAAAGCGAGCGCAGGCGGUUUCUUAAGUCUGAUGUGAAAGCCCCCGGCUCAACCGGGGAGGGUCAUUGGAAACUGGGAGACUUGAGUGCAGAAGAGGAGAGUGGAAUUCCAUGUGUAGCGGUGAAAUGCGUAGAUAUAUGGAGGAACACCAGUGGCGAAGGCGGCUCUCUGGUCUGUAACUGACGCUGAGGCUCGAAAGCGUGGGGAGCAAACAGGAUUAGAUACCCUGGUAGUCCACGCCGUAAACGAUGAGUGCUAAGUGUUGGAGGGUUUCCGCCCUUCAGUGCUGCAGCU
rnacentral:rRNA from 1 species